AUGAACAUCUUGGCCUGGAACUGUCGAGGACUGGGGUUGGACUCGACAGUGGGCGAACUUCGAGACCUGAUACGGUCCUACAACCUAGCGGUGGUGUUCUUAUGUGAAACAAAGAAGAAGUCGAGGGCGAUGGACAGACUUAAAUGGAGUUUGGGGUUUACUAACGGAGUUGCGGUGGACUGCGUGGGGUGCAGUGGGGGUCUAGCACUAUGGUGGAGAGAUCAAGUCCAAGUAACGAUC
rnacentral:rRNA from 1 species